GGUCAAGUUAUUAAGGGUGCAGGGCGGAUGCCUUGGCACUAGGAGCCGAUGAAGGACGUGAUAAGCUGCGAUAAGCUUCGGGGAGUUGCACGUAAACUUUGAUCCGAAGAUUUCCGAAUGAGGAAACUCACUUAGAGUAAUGUCUAAGUAUCAUUAAGUGAAUACAUAGCUUAAUGAGGGGAACUCAGGGAACUGAAACAUCUAAGUACCUGAAGGAAGAGAAAGAAAUUCGAUUCCGUAAGUAGCGGCGAGCGAACGCGGAUUAGCCCAAACCAAUAAAGUUUUCUUUACUGGGGUUGCGGACAUAUCAUAACGAAGAGGUAUCGUAAUUGAAGAGGUUUGGAAAGACCCACCACAGAAGGUAAUAGUCCUGUAUGUUAAACGAGAAGACUUCAGAUAUGAUCCAGAGUACCACGGG
rnacentral:rRNA from 1 species